AUCUGUUCUUAUCAGCUUAAUAUCUGAUACAGUCCCCAUAGGGGGCUCAGUAUAUUAAUCUAUUUUUUGGGACCAGGCGGGUGCUCGGAGCUUGCUCCGACCUUGCCACGGGUCGACCCUGCAUUGCAUUGCAGCAGGGUGCGGCCCAGCAAGC
rnacentral:snRNA from 1 species